CGGCGGACGGGUAAGUAACACGUAGGCAACCUGCCCCUCUGGACUGGGAUAACNNCCGGAAACGGUAGCUAAUACCAGAUAAUUCACUUNUUCGCAUGGAGAAGUGAGGAAAGACGGAGCAAUCUGUCACCGGAGGAUGGGCCUGCGGCGCAUUAGCUAGUUGGAGAGGUAACGGCUCCCCAAGGCGACGAUGCGUAGCCGACCUGAGAGGGUGAUCGGCCACACUGGGACUGAGACACGGCCCNAGAACUCCUACGGGAGGCAGCAGUAGGGAAUCUUCCGCAAUGGGCGAAAGCCUGACGGAGCAACGCCGCGUGAGUGAUGAAGGUUUUCGGAUCGUAAAGCUCUGUUGCCAAGGAAGAACGUCCUUAAGAGUAACUGCUUAAGGAGUGUG
rnacentral:rRNA from 2 species